rnacentral:lncRNA from 1 species
GCCUGGCCAAGUCUCACUACCACCACACAUGGAGGCCCCAAUCGAACAAAUGGAUAGACAGGGCCAUGAGUCCAGGUUCUAUCCCCCCUACACCCUUUUUAGUGGGAAAAGACUGCUUUGGGCUGGGCGUGUGGUAGCCACUGGAUUGAUGGACUGGUGGAUAACACCUACUCAAUUAUUGGGGUGGUUGUGAAGAUUA